AACAGGCUGACAAGACCACAGAGGCCCCUGACAACAGAGACUCACUAACUCAACGCUCUUUCCCUCCUGUGGAAUGUGGAGGCUUCACACUGGAGACUGCUGGGGUUUGCCGCAGCUGGUAACAAUCCCCUUUUCCCCCAGAAUUCGAUGACCCAUCAACUAAAUUAAAAUUCUGACCGUGCUUCCACAUGGAUGAAUCCAGAACACGCGAUGCUGAGUGGAGGAGGCCAGAGGCAAAGGAUGGCAGGUUGUACAAUCCCAUUCACCCAUGCCGAGGCAUCCAUCAACGUCGUCGCUGGGACGGCCGAUUAGAUAAAUCAGGGGCUGGUAACUAACUCACUUCUGCUGCACCUGAG